AUGGCAAGAUAUUGGUGGAGUAGCUCUCUUGACCGCCGAUCCUUGCAUUGGUUGGAUUGGGAUACACUUGCAACCGCGAAAGUGAAAGGGGGGAUGGGUUUCAGGAACCUGGAGCUGUUUAACUUGUCUCUCCUGGGGAAGCAUGGAUGGAGGCUUCUUACAAAUCCGAACUCGUUGUGCGCACGAGUGCUCAAAGGGAAGUACUUUCCUCAUACUACCUUUCUCGAUGCCCAGGCACAUCGGCACGCUUCGGCUACGUGGCGAGCUAUCUUGGCAGGCAGGGAAGCUCUGAAUGCUGGCAUGAUCAAAAGAAUUGGAGAUGGUUCGAAGGUCUCGAUUUGGAGAGAUCCGUGGAUACCGGGGCUGAUCGCAAUGAAGCCGUCUACCCACAUUGGUACGGCUGAUUUGAACUUUGUUUCAGAUUUGAUUGAUGCAGAGACUGGGACGUGGAAAAUCAAUAUAGUGCAAAACAAUUUUAUCGCCCCGGAGGCAGAAGCUAUACUAAAUAUCCCUUUGUGCCGGAUGGGAGGUGAUGACAGAUGGGCAUGGUCGGCGGAAAAAACUGGUGUGUACACUGUAAAAUCGGCUUAUCAGACUCUCAUGAUUCGCAACGAGCAUCGUGCUAUAGAAGAAGGGUCGGUAAUUGAAUCUUCAUUGACGAAUAAACAGAUGUGGACUAAGCUUUGGAGGCUGAAUAUUGUGCCCAAAGUCUGUGUGUUCUGGUGGCGAGUGCUUCGGGGGAUCCUUCCUGUCGAGAGCACCCUCAAAUACAGACACAUAGCAACAUUGGCCAAGUGUAAAAUAUGCCUGUCAGCGGAUGAAGACAUGUAUCAUGCACUGAUACAAUGUUCUCAUGCAAAUCGGUUCUGGACAGAAGCCCGUGAUUGGUUGGUGUCGGUGUCAAAACCGGCGGAUCUCGGGUAG
rnacentral:rRNA from 1 species